rnacentral:rRNA from 1 species
AUUGAACGCUGGCGGCAGGCCUAACACAUGCAAGUCGAACGAGUGGCGGACGGGUGUGUAAUGUCUGGGAAACUGACCGAUGGUGGGGGAUAACUACUGGAAACGGUAGCUAAUACCGCAUACCAUCGGAUGUGCCCAGAUGGGAUUAGCUAGUAGGUGGGGUAACGUCUCACCUAGGCGACGAUCCCUAGCUGGUCUGAGAGGAUGACCAGCCAAACGGGAACUGAGACACGGUCCAGCAUCCUACGGGAGGCAGCAGUGGGGAAUAGUGCACAAUGGGCGAAAGCCUGAUGCAGCCAUGCCGCGUGUAUGAAGAAGGCCUGCGGGUUGUAAAGUACUUUCAGCGAGGAGGCGUUACUCGCAGAAGAAGCACCGGCUAAGUCCGUGCCAGCAGCCGCGGUAAUAC